rnacentral:lncRNA from 1 species
GCACCACUGGGCAUUGACGGCAUUUUUCAGCUAAUUGGCCGGUGUUUUGGUUUCGAUUUGGCCAUAUGUGGGUUUAGAAUCGAAUUCAGAGCCAAAGAGAUUUUUUUUACCUCAUUUGGCGGCCGAAAAGUGCUCUGGUGCGGCGGCGGGUGGCGGCGGUCGGUUCUCGGGUGGCUGGGCUGUCUUCUUCGGUGAGGGCUCUGGCGGCUAGGGUUAGGGUUUGGGUGUGGGUGAGAUUAUUUAUAACCUUCUACUUUUAAUCUGAGCUGUCCAUCGCGAUUUAAUCUGAACC